rnacentral:rRNA from 1 species
ACGGAGGGUGCAAGCGUUAAUCGGAAUUACUGGGCGUAAAGCGCGCGUAGGCGGUUUGGUAAGUCAGAUGUGAAAGCCCUGGGCUCAACCUGGGAACUGCAUUUGAUACUGCCUGACUAGAGUGUGGUAGAGGGAAGUGGAAUUCCGGGUGUAGCGGUGAAAUGCGUAGAUAUCCGGAGGAACAUCAGUGGCGAAGGCGACUUCCUGGACCAACACUGACGCUGAGGUGCGAAAGCGUGGGUAGCAAACAGGAUUAGAUACCCUGGUAGUCCACGCCGUAAACGAUGUCAACUAGCUGUUGGGCUCAUUAUAAGGGUUUAGUGGCGAAGCUAACGCGAUAAGUGACCGCCUGGGGAGUACGCCGCAAGGUUA